GGCCUGGUGUCAUCAUGUAAUAAGUGAAAUGAAUAAUUUAAGAACAAGCAGAACAUCCACGAUUCUUCUAAAUGAAAACUUUAAAAUAAUUAUAUGGAGACAUAACCCAGAUAUGCAAUUUAUUUAGAUAAAAUCAUAACCAGAUCAUGAAAAUUAAAUUCCAGAGUACACACAAGUGAAAAUGCCAUUAGCCGAUACAGUCUGUUUAAACCCAAUCAAACAUGAAAUCUUAUGGAUAAAACAUCUAGCUACGAGAAAAAAUAGGCACCAAUUACUUCACACAGGCGAAUUAGAAGGAGCAAGGGUUAUCAGAGUUUGAUCAAAUAAGAUGACGCCUAAUCAUAGGUUUCAGAUAAG
rnacentral:misc_RNA from 1 species